UUGUACAGUGAGAAAUACGAUUAAAACAUGAAGGAAAGUGGAACGUGAUAAGAUAUUAAAGACUGGAUUUGGAGAACUCCUAAGAUUAACAGCAAGAAACAUAAGGCUUCUCGAAGACUUCGGUGACCUCGAAAUGCAUCGGCAGUAAGGAUCUCCUCUGAUGGUGGCCCGAGUGAAACGUUUGUCGGCGUUUCGAUUUGAAUUUGGACGGUCUUGAACUGGGACGAUGGUACGAGCUGCGCCGCGACAACGACACGACCAUACCCUCUGCAACAGAAUUUCAGUCAUCGCCUGAGCAGAAUCGUCGCAAAGUGCAGGAGGCCGUGGAUAAAAAGGACCGACAUUAUUUUUUCACGUAUUGCGCAACGCCCGAGGUGUGUACGUGUCAGAAGGACUCUGCGGCGGCGGCGAGGGCUCAAGAUCGUGACGUUGCGUGUGCGACGGGCACCGGUGACAGAGAAAUAAUUAACAAGC